GAUGAACGCUGGCGGCGUGCCUAAUACAUGCAAGUCGAGCGAACAGACGAGGAGCUUGCUCCUUUGACGUUAGCGGCGGACGGGUGAGUAGCACGUAGGUAACCUACCUAUAAGACUGGGAUAACUUCGGGAAACCGGAGCUAAUACCGGAUAAUAUUUCGAACCGCAUGGUUCGAUAGUGAAAGAUGGCUUUGCUAUCACUUAUAGAUGGACCUGCGCCGUAUUAGCUAGUUGGUAAGGUAACGGCUUACCAAGGCAACGAUACGUAGCCGACCUGAGAGGGUGAUCGGCCACCCUGGAACUGAGACCCGGUCCAGACUCCUACGGGAGGCAGCAGUAGGGAAUCUUCCGCAAUGGGCGAAAGCCUGACGGAGCAACGCCGCGUGAGUGAUGAAGGUCUUCGGAUCGUAAAACUCUGUUAUUAGGGAAGAACAAACGUGUAAGUAACUGUGCACGUCUUGCCGGUACCUAACCAGAAAGCCACGGCUACCUCCGU
rnacentral:rRNA from 1 species